AAAAGCCUGUUUGGUUGUGUCUGUCUGUUGAAUCGGAAUUCUUACGAGUCUAGUUGUUUGAGAGUACAACUUAAAGCUGGUGGUAAAUUUCAUCAAAGGCUAAAUAUAUGAGGGGACUAAUAGCGAACAAGUACCAUGAGGGAAAGUUGAAAAGAACUCUGACGAGAGAGUUCAACAGUGCGUGAAACCAUAUUGAGUAAAACAGAUAACUGUGUCGUUAUGCGGUGUGUCUAUCAACAGUAUAUCGGGUGUUGCGAUUCGGCGAGUGUGAGCUGUUUAUUCAGACGAUCUCUCGUUGUUAGCAUAGCCCGGAGUUCUGUGUACUAGUGCACAUCCAAUCAUUGAGAAACUAUGCUGCUGCGGCAUCGGUGCACAUCAGUCCCCGCCUAGCGGGAAGUUGUGUGCUGGGCUCUGCUAGCGGCGUAGUUUAGCUGUGUGACAGCUGUGGGAUACGUUUGUUGAAUGUGCCUGCUUUGUCUGCGAAUCGGUUAAUUCCUUUUUGCGGUGAGUAUGGUACAGUAGGCGAGUGUCUCGGCAUCAAUGGUUGACAUUAGUUAUUUGACCCGUCUUGAAACACGGACCAAGGAGUUCAAAUGGCACGCGAGUCAUUGGGUUUAAUCACCCGAAGGCGAAGUGAAAUGCAAACGUAUCGUUACUCGUAGAA
rnacentral:rRNA from 1 species